GGCCCGCUGGCUCAAUGGUAGAGCGUCUGACUACGAUUACUUUCAGUCAUCAGGAGGUUCCAGGUUCGAGACCUGGGUGGGUCG